UACGUAGGGUGCGAGCGUUAAUCGGAAUUACUGGGCGUAAAGCGUGCGCAGGCGGUUUUGUAAGCCAGAUGUGAAAUCCCCGGGCUUAACCUGGGAAUGGCAUUUGGGACUGCAAGGCUGGAGUUUGGCAGAGGAGACUGGAAUUCCUGGUGUAGCAGUGAAAUGCGUAGAUAUCAGGAGGAAUACCGAUGGCGAAGGCAGGUCUCUGGGCUAUAACUGACGCUCAUGACACGUAAAGGCGUGGGAGCAAACGAAGGUUACGAA
rnacentral:rRNA from 1 species